GAUGAACGCUGGCGGCGUGCCUAACACAUGCAAGUCGAGCGUGAUUAAGUGGAGUGAGGACUUUCGGUCUGAGUGAAACUUAUGAAAGCGGCGGACGGGUGAGUAACGCGUGGGCAACCUGCCCCAUACAAAGGGAUAGCCAUUGGAAACGGUGAUUAAUACCUUAUAAGUCGGUAGUCUCGCAUGAGAUAGCCGACAAAGAUUUAUCGGUAUGGGGAUGGGCCCGCGUCUGAUUAGCUAGUUGGUGAGGUAACGGCUCACCAAGGCGACGAUCAGUAGCCGACCUGAGAGGGUGAUCGGCCACACUGGAACUGAGACACGGUCCAGACUCCUACGGGAGGCAGCAGUGGGGAAUAUUGCGCAAUGGGGGAAACCCUGACGCAGCAACGCCGCGUGAGUGAGGAAGGUCUUCGGGUCGUAAAGCUCUGUCAGGGCGGGAAGAAAUGCAUGGAGGUGAACAGCCGCCAUGCUUGACCGGUACCGCCGAGAAC
rnacentral:rRNA from 1 species